UGCGUAGGCGGACUAAUAAGUCAGUGGUGAAAUCUCUCGGCUCAACCGGGAAACUGCCAUUGAUACUGUUAGUCUUGAGUUCGGUUGAGGUAGGCGGAAUGUGUAAUGUAGCGGUGAAAUGCUUAGAUAUUACACAGAACACCAAUUGCGUGGGCAGCUUACUAGACCGACACUGACGCUGAGGCACGAAAGCGUGGGUAGCGAACAGGAUUAGAUACCCUGGUAGUCC
rnacentral:rRNA from 1 species